AAGGGCUCUUUUCCCAGGAGGCCCACAUCCUGCCCUUCAGCGCGGACAGCGGAGGAGGAAGUGGUGUGCAGUGGCCUGGGUCUGAGCGAGGGCGGUUCUCAGGGACCUGGUCUCAGUGCCCGUACUAUCAUCUGGUGGCAUUAUUCUAUGUUUAUAUUCCAUGGAGAUCUAGAUCUUGAUUUGGAAGUUUAUGACGAAAUGAUCAGCAUCUGACUUGACAUCAAUAUUACCAGUGAAGGAUUAUAUUUUGAGGCCUAUGGAUAUUGCUAUAUAUACAUCUACUCCAUUGCUGCUCAUGGUCUGUUACAGUGUGCCUAGAACACAAUUUACUUAUAUUCUCUGCCAUGGAAGGACUUCCAUAUUGUUUCAGCACAAGCAAGGCUCUGUGAACAACCUAGACAUGCCCCCUGUUGGAAAAUGCCAAAGGACAUUUACUUAGGAUCCAGACUAACAGAAUUGCUAGGCUGUAGAGCAUAUGUAUGCAACUCAGAUACCAUAAACAGUCUAAUUUCAGAAGUCCUCUCAGAUUACCACCAGAAGGAUUCACCAGUUCACACCUCCCGCCCCCCCGCCAGCAGUAUGAGUGUUUGUAUACCAACCUCUUGCUGAUAUUUGGCAUUAAGUUUUCUAAUUUUUCUCAUUUCUGUCUAAUGGGUAUAAAAUAAUAUUUUUUAGUUUCAUUUUACUUUUAUCUGACUACUGAUGAAUUUGGUCAGCUUUUUAUAUGCUUGCUGUCUUUCGGAUUUUUCCCUCCUGUAAAUUCCCCUUCAAAUUCAUUGCAUAUUUGUCCACUGGGAGUGUAUUUAUUUAUUUUUAUUGAUUUACAGAAGUUCUUUGAAUAUUCUAGAUAGUUGCCAGCUGGUUUUAGACAAGUAGCUUGUUAGCCUGUCACUUUACUUUAACUUUGCCCAUUAUGUCUUUUUGUGUGUGUGUGUGUGAACAGAAAUCUUAAUUUUUAUGUAAUUCAAUUUAUCAAUAUUUUACUUUGAGAGCUUUGUAAAAUAAAUUAUUUUC